GUUCAAGUGAUUCUAGCACCUCAGCAUCCCAAGUAGCUGGGACUACAAGUGCGCACCACCAUGCCCGGCUAAUUUUUUAUAUUUUUAUUUAUGUUUUUUUUUUUUUAAGAUGGAGUCUUGCUCUGUCACUUAAGCUGAAGUGCAGUGGCACAAUCACGGCUCACUGCAACCUCUGUCUCCCAGGUUCAAGUGAUUCCCCUGCCUCAGUCUCCCAAGUAGCUGGGACUACAGGGGUGCACCACCAUGCCCAGCUAAUUUUUAUAUUUUUAGUAGAGAUGGGGUUUCACCAUGUUGGACAGACUGGUCUCGAACUCCUGACCUCAGGCAAUCUGCCCACCUCAGCCUCCCAGAGUUCUGGGAUUACAGGCGUGAGCCAGCGAGCCCAGCCAAUUUUCGUAUUUUUAGUAGAGAUGGGGUUUCACCAUGUUGCCCAGGUUGAUCUUGAACUCCUUAGCUCAAGUAAUCCGCCCGCCUCAGCCUCCCAAAGUGCUGAGACUACAGGUGUGAGCCACUGCACCCAGCCAAAGAUGGGAAUUCUUUAGGGAAUGGCUAAAUGAAAUGUGUCCUAUUCACUAAAUUGAAUACGAUACAGCAGUUAAAGGGAAUGAACUAGAUGUUUCAAUAAGGAUAGACCUCAAAAACAUUUUUGUGUGAAAAAAGCAAGUUGCCGCCAGACACGGUGACUCACACCUGUAAUCCCAGCACUUUGGGAGGCUGAGGAGGGCGGAUCACGAGGUCAGGAGAUCGAGACCAUCCUGGCUAACACAGUGAAACCCGGUCUCUACUAAAAAUAAAAAAUAAAAAAUAAAAAAUUAGCUGGGCGUGGUGGCACAUGCCUGUAGUUCCAGCUACUUGGGAGGCUGAGGCAGGAGAAUGGCGUGAACCCGGGAGGCGGAGUUUGCAGUGAGCCUAGAUCGUGCCACUGCACUCCAGCCUGCGGCGACAGAGCGAGACUCCGUCUCAAAAAGAAAAAGAAAAAGAAAAAAGCAAGUUGCCAAAUGUAAUCAUCUAUACAAAGAAAAAAACCCCACAAAACAAAACUAUGUAUUUCCCAUGCAAGAGUUUUUUUGUUUGUUUGUUUUUUAAGAGACAGGAUCUUGGCCCAGCGUGGUGGCUCACACCUGCAAUCCCAGCAGUUUGGGAGGCCGAGGCAGGUGGAUCACUUGAGGCCAGGAGUUCGAGACCAGCCUGGCUAACAUGGUGAAACCCCAUCUCUACUUAAAAAAUACAAAAAUUAGCCAAGUGUGGUGGCACGCACCUGUAAUCCCAGCUACUUGGGAGGCUGAGGCACGAGAAUUGCUUGAACCUGGGAGGCGGAGGAUCCCUUGAGCUCAGGUGCUCAAGGUUGCAGUGAGCUAUGAUGGUACCACUGUACUCCAGCCUGGGUGACAGAGUGAGAAUCUGUCUCAAAAAAAAAAAAGAGAGAGAGAGAAAGAGAGAGUCUCACUCUGUCACCCAGGCUGGAGUGCAGUGGUACAGCGAUACCAUCAUAGCUCACUGAAGCCUUGGGCACCUGAACUCAAGGGAUCCUCCUGCCUCAGCCUCCCAAGUGGCUGGCACAGGUGUAUGACCCUGCACCCGGCUAAUUUUUAAUUUUUUUUGUAGAGACAGGGUCUUGAGAUGUUGCACAGGCUGUUCUCAUUCUCAAACUCCUAUCCUCAAGGGAUCCUCCUGCCUCAGCUGCCUAAAGUGCUGGGAUUACAGGUGUGAGCCACCAUGCCGGCCAUUUUUUUUUAAAGGAUGGGAAGAAUGCAUAUCAAACUCAUGGCAGUGGUUACUUCAAGGACGGGGGAAAGGUGUGUAGGAUAAGGGUCCAAAGGUACUUUUAGCUUUUUCUUUAAUGUUCUAAAUUUUUAAAGGAAAAUAUGUAUUACAUGUGUAAUUAUAAUUAUUAAAACAGGACAUAAAUGUAUAUAUAUAUAAAAUAUGAAUAUAAAUAUGUAAAAUAUGGUGGUGAAAAAAUAAGGGAAGUACACAA
rnacentral:lncRNA from 10 species